CACACACACACGCACACACACACACAUUUUUAGGGACCCCGAACCUUUCAGUGCUUCAUCAGGGGUCCAGAUCCAACAAGCUCCAAUCAAAGCUCGGUCCAGAACCCGCUAAGGAGCCGAAGCGGGACCUUGUGAAGCUGUUAACCGUAUAAUUUAAACGUCUUAUGUUACUUCAGUAAGAAAGGAGAGCUUCAUGUAUCACAAAAAUUAAGCAGCAUAUUUUUUCCACCCCUGACAUUCAUGAAUGAUGUCUAAAAUCAGAGAGGAGGAUAAAUUGAUGUCUCUAGUUUGCGUGAUAUAAAAAAAAAGUGAGCUUAAAAGCCUGCGAUGAAUGAGAAAUUACAGCUCUCACGAGAACAGCAACGUUUUCUCAGCACUAAAAACCGUAGUAACCCCUCAAGUUUUCUUCUGUAAUUGGUUUUCACAUCCUGAUCGCUAACUAGCUGAAGCUUUCUGCCCAUUAUAAGGUUUCCCUUUCUGCUCUCGCUGGUCUCCAUUCAUACUAUUCUCCAGAAAAAAGACAGCCAGUGUGUCGCGCAUGUGAACCUUGGGUGUCAUCAAGCUGCAGCGUUGAAACUGUCAUAAUCACUGGAAUUGAAAUCUGUUUUGGUGACGUUCGUUAAAGCGACAGCUGGAAACCAUCCCAAACAAGACGAUCUGGGCUCCAGUUUGCAUGUUUGUUUAAACAUUAGUCUGCCCCUUUAUCCCUUUUAAAGGCUGGUGUUCUCCCCAUUAAUUCAUACAAGGAUUAAAAACAGCUGACCAGAGUAAUUUUCCAAAACGGUUUUCCUCAGUUUCUCACUCAUUGUGUGCUCAGAGACUUUGGUAGCUGUUAGCAGGAUUUUGAAACUGUUGGUAAAAAAAAACGGCAAGGCACUGGUGUCUAAAUGUGGCUGAAAAAUAUUUAUAUUUGAUUAAAUUUGCUAAUUUUUAACACCUUUGUUUCAGCUGAGUUUGGAGAUGACUCAUGGGGUAAAUAUGGAGAAUAUUCCUCGCCUUUUCAAUAUAUUAUAUGAAAUAAAGUCAAGGAUUGGUCAAUCGUAGCCAGGGAUGUCCAUUGUUUGGAUGGUUCUGUCUGCUGUGUUUAACAUAAAAUAAUUGAUGCUGCUCCUACAUUCCAACCUGUUACGGUCAGUGUCGAUGUUUAGUAUUUCUUUUUUCUUUUUGCAUGGAGUUUGCAAGCAUGGGUUCUCUCUGGGUACUUUGGCUUCCUCCCAGGCGUAGGUUAAUUGGCUAAUUGACUUGCCUUUAGGUGUGAGCGUCCUGUGAUGGACACCUCCUCUCACCCAAAGACCACUUGAGAUAGGCUCCAGCUUCCCCUGGACCCUGCACAGAUAAGCGGCUGUAGACAAUGGAUGGCCAAACAUGGUCCAACCAACCAUGUGGAAAACGGAGAGACAUUUGAAAGUAGCAGAGAGGCAGCCGGUUUUGAAACAACACUGUUCUGGACGUCGUUGCUACAGCUAAUGCCGCCGUAGAGGUGGCGCCGUGCGGUUCCCGUCUACUUAACCCUCGUAUAUCGGUAUUGUGGUCAUUUCUGGAGACUUAUGAUCAAAACAUUUGGUAAGUCUAAGAUAUGCAUCAGUUUUACUACUGAGUCUUUUUAAAUGAAGAAAUUACUGCAAUAACAUUUUUGUAUUAUCGUUUGAUGAAUUUAUGUUACUCCUAAUUUAGAUCAACGUUUCAUCCAGUCCCCAAUUCAGCAAGUAAGGUUUACAGAUUAAGCACAGCAGCCCCAGAUACCAGGGGAGUAAUUGAACCAUUUUAUUGUAGGUACAUUACUCUAAGUUCUCUAGUUAAACAUAGACACAUUUGGUAUCCACAGAAACACCAGAAUGUUGGUUAAAUACUGAUAGAAAUCCUUUUAAUAAUCCUAAAACACAGUUAAACUACCACAAACAAGCUAAUCAAAAAGUUUAAAUUUUUUCACUUUGGAAACAAGCCAUUUAAGACAUGUUAAACAAGUUUAAGUUUUGCAAGUAAAAAAACACAAUAAAUCUCCAGAUUUUUUAGAUGGUGCCAAAAUGUGCCAAA